CAAGGUGAAUACAGACACAGGGCACCUACUCCAGAAUGCCCUCAGGCUGAUGGGGAGAGGUGGCUGUAGGAGUGUAGGGACAGAACAUCUAGCAAACUAUUCUACAGUUCUACUUUAAGGAAAAGGGGAGGAGCUCAGAGAAGGCCGCCCCUGCUCCCCCGGCAAACAUCUGGUCUCCCUUGCUUCGUCCCGCACCCCCACCCCGCCGCUCGCAACACGCGUGGAAAGGGCGAGUUGGGAGAGAGGCAGCGCUCGCGGAGAGCCCCUCGGGCCGGGCGCUCAUUCAUUCACCGGCUGGAAGGCGGCGCGGCCGGGGCCGCGGGACCGGAGGGAGGCAAGCAGGGAGGCCGGCCAGUUUCAGAAUCGCCACCAUCACACCCACAAAGUUUAAGCUGUGCCACAGCCAGUACCAUGAUAACUCGGCAUAGUUUUCCUGACUUGGAGCCACUUGAAGUCUUGUAUCCGGUGUGGCUGACACUCUUUCGCAGUUUGACACUAGUUAGUGUUCUUGGGUUUCAUGUUAACCUUUCCUGAUCUCAUCGAUGAAAUGAUUACCCGGCUGCAAUCAACCCAGUGAUUUUUCAAGAGUCCAAGUAUUACAGCCUCUGCUUUGGAGGAAAAUAACUGAAAAUAUUAAGGCCAAACCACGAGUAACCCACAUUAAAUACAUUUACAUACCGUGGAAAAGCAUUUAAAAUCUAGAUAAAAUAUACAUGAAAAGUAGAUAUUAUGAGUAAGUGAGAUAUGAAAAUUGAAGAAUGUUAAGGUAUUUUUAGUCCACAACAUGAAGUAGACUUAUAAUUAGAAGUUAACUGACUCCUGCAGGGAAGAGGGAGGAAAGGUGCUUGCUCUUCUUGAAAUACCUCCAGAGGUGGUGACCAAGGCAUUGGGUUCCAAAGCCUCACACAUAAGAUGAGGACAUUGCUGGUUCAGGCCUCAGGGUGUCCUGCUAUUCUCAAUGUUUUGCUUUUUAAGUGCUUGGUGGACCUUAGAGAAAGUCAUUUUGACGACAUUUGAUGUAAUUCAACGAUGUGAUUAAUAGCACACAUUUCAAGUUUGGCAAGAGGAAUUGAAAUAUUUCAAAAGAAAACUUCUAAAUUACUCACAGUAAAAUUUCUGGAAUAUCAUUUCUUUUUGAAUGUCUUUGAACCAGACUGCCAGAGGGCCAGUUUAAUCAGCUGUUUUUUUUUUUUUUAAAAACUUCAGGUGCUCCACAUGAGGUUUGAAAAUUAAACUGCUGAAUCCUUUCUCGAUUACAUAACUUGCUCCUGACUUAAGGAGUGGAAAUUAUCAGCUACCUUAGGUACUCUUGUGGCAAUUUUACACUUUAAUAAACAUUUCCACCACCAGUUUAUACUGUUGGUAGAAAAUGGGGAGGGGGGAGAUUGAUGGUAAAAACAGUCUUUAAUUGUCUUAUUUGUUAUCUUUAAUAAUCAAAAAUGUUCACUAAUGAAACACACUUCAGAAUGAGCUAGAAAGUAAUGAUUGUGCUCUUAUGCGUCAUCCCAGUAAACCUUUGAAAUUGUCAGUUAUGAAGCAAUAAGUCAUGGAUCAGAAAUGGGUUGGAAACUAUGGCAGCCAGUUAUAGACUAAUCCAGAUAGCUUUCUGGGCCCAUGCCAAAUACCCUUUUGAUUACAUCCUCUGUUUUGUAUGCAUGUAGUGGUAACGAAAUUCUCUGCAAGAAGAAAGAUCUGUGUUAUCUUAAAGUGACUUCUAUACAGUCUAACAACAAAAUGUUUCAGUUACGUGCCCAGGGAAGCUGUGUAUUAACUUUUAAAAAGGACCUAAUUGAAUCAAACAAAAGCAGUAGUUGUAACAAUAUUUGCACAGGAAUAGAACCAUACAAGGAAUAUUCCAGCCAUUUCACUAAUCAUUUAGCUCCAAAUAUCCUGGGCACCCCCCCACCCCCGGUCCUUUCUAGGACAUGUUUUACAUUCAGAUGACAUGGAUUAGGGGCUUUCUUUAAAUGACGAAUUUGAAGAUAAAUUCUUGCAGAGCAAGUUUGUUUAGUUCUGAUUGUAGAAGAGUCCCUGAAUUCAGGACCAUCCAAGAGAAGCCAGAUGAAAGACUAAAGUAAUCUUCCUGGAACAGCUCAGCCCAUCUCCCUACCUGGCCCUGGGUUGCCAGCCUCUCUGCAGGAAAUCUCACAGUUGUGCACAUGCUGCUGCUGAAAAUGCAAGGCUUCUAAACUCACAAGAACCUCAGGGCUACCUGGAGUCUCCAUGCAGGUCCUUAGCAUCCAUAAGCCCUAUCUCA